AUGAGUGGGCGCCGGGAUCCAUGCCGGCUGUCCAUCAAGGUGAUGCCGGACGUGGAGGUGGUCCGCAUGAUGAACUUCUUCUCCAACUGCAAGCUGUCGAAGACGGAGUGGCGAGAGCAUUCAGCUCGAGCCCACGUACGCCGGCUAGGUUCGGAAGUUCAGAUCGAUCAAGCCGAGCGGAUAAGAUUGUACCAGGCUGAAGAGAUAAACUCUAUUUGCAUGUACUACAUCAACAACGAACCAGAAAAUCAGCAGCGACUCAACCACCUCGGCCGCGCAUGCGCGCGCCCUGCUUAUCCAUCCGCAGCCGGGGUGCGGCGCUCCGGAUGUCCCACGACGACGACGGGCGCGCGCCGGAGAACAGGCCGGCGGUGCCUUCUUCUUUCAUGCGCGCCAACACACUCCACUACAUCAACACGCACAGCCAGGAGGCAGCGAGUACACGCUCCGACGAAGGACGCGGGCACGGCGCCGAGGAGGGGCCUGGCGCGGUGUGUGCAUAGCCGAGACGCACGGACGCGGAGGAUGAGCCUGGCGCCGUGUGUGCAUAACCCUCUGCCUUCGCUGCCGCCGGGGCGGGAGUCCGUCCACUUGACUUCCACACGUCGUCGUCCUAAGGCCUGUGGUCGAGACGUCGAUGAGGCCAUCUUCAUGAACCUCGUUGUGGGGGAGUCGCAGAAGAGGACCGGGCGUAGCACUUGGUACAAGCUCCCAUGGCGGCCGCGGACAGCACUAGAAGAGGCAGCGACGCGGACCUAG
rnacentral:rRNA from 1 species